rnacentral:rRNA from 1 species
GAUGAACGCUGGCGGCGUGCCUAAUACAUGCAAGUCGAGCGAACGGACGAGAAGCUUGCUUUUCUGAUGUUAGCGGCGGACGGGUGAGUAACACGUGGAUAACCUACCUAUAAGACUGGGAUAACUUCGGGAAACCGGAGCUAAUACCGGAUAAUAUUUUGAACCGCAUGGUUCAAAAGUGAAAGACGGUCUUGCUGUCACUUAUAGAUGGAUCCGCGCUGCAUUAGCUAGUUGGUAAGGUAACGGCUUACCAAGGCAACGAUGCAUAGCCGACCUGAGAGGGUGACCGGCCACACUGGAACUGAGACACGGUCCAGACUCCUACGGGAGGCAGCAGUAGGGAAUCUUCCGCAAUGGGCGAAAGCCUGACGGAGCAACGCCGCGUGAGUGAUGAAGGUCUUCGGAUCGUAAAACUCUGUUAUUAGGGAAGAACAUAUGUGUAAGUAACUGUGCACAUCUUGACGGUACCUAAUCAGAAAGCCACGGCUAACUACGUGCCAGCAGCCGCGGUAAUACGUAGGUGGCAAGCGUUAUCCGGAAUUAUUGGGCGUAAAGCGCGCGUAGGCGGUUUUUUAAGUCUGAUGUGAAAGCCCACGGCUCAACCGUGGAGGGUCAUUGGAAACUGGAAAACUUGAGUGCAGAAGAGGAAAGUGGAAUUCCAUGUGUAGCGGUGAAAUGCGCAGAGAUGUGGAGGAACACCAGUGGCGAAGGCGACUUUCUGGUCUGUAACUGACGCUGAUGUGCGAAAGCGUGGGGAUCAAACAGGAUUAGAUACCCUGGUAGUCCACGCCGUAAACGAUGAGUGCUAAGUGUUAGGGGGUUUCCGCCCCUUAGUGCUGCAGCUAACGCAUUAAGCACUCCGCCUGGGGAGUACGACCGCAAGGUUGAAACUCAAAGGAAUUGACGGGGGCCCGCACAAGCGGUGGAGCAUGUGGUUUAAUUCGAAGCAACGCGAAGAACCUUACCAAAUCUUGACAUCCUUUGACAACUCUAGAGAUAGAGCCUUCCCCUUCGGGGGACAAAGUGACAGGUGGUGCAUGGUUGUCGUCAGCUCGUGUCGUGAGAUGUUGGGUUAAGUCCCGCAACGAGCGCAACCCUUAAGCUUAGUUGCCAUCAUUAAGUUGGGCACUCUAAGUUGACUGCCGGUGACAAACCGGAGGAAGGUGGGGAUGACGUCAAAUCAUCAUGCCCCUUAUGAUUUGGGCUACACACGUGCUACAAUGGACAAUACAAAGGGCAGCGAAACCGCGAGGUCAAGCAAAUCCCAUAAAGUUGUUCUCAGUUCGGAUUGUAGUCUGCAACUCGACUACAUGAAGCUGGAAUCGCUAGUAAUCGUAGAUCAGCAUGCUACGAUGAAUACGUUCCCGGGUCU